rnacentral:tRNA from 1 species
GCCAGUAUGGUGUAGUGGUUUGAGCACUGGACUAUGACUCUGGAGACCAGUGUUCAAAUCUCUGCUCAGCCA